rnacentral:rRNA from 1 species
CCUACGGGUGGCAGCAGUGGGGAAUAUUGGACAAUGGGGGCAACCCUGAUCCAGCCAUGCCGCGUGUGUGAAGAAGGCCCUCGGGUUGUAAAGCACUUUCAGUGAGGAAGAACGCCUGGUGGUUAAUACCCAUCAGGAAAGACAUCACUCACAGAAGAAGCACCGGCUAACUCCGUGCCAGCAGCCGCGGUAAUACGGAGGGUGCGAGCGUUAAUCGGAAUUACUGGGCGUAAAGCGCGCGUAGGUGGCUUGAUAAGCCGGUUGUGAAAGCCCCGGGCUCAACCUGGGAACGGCAUCCGGAACUGUCAAGCUAGAGUGCAGGAGAGGAAGGUAGAAUUCCCGGUGUAGCGGUGAAAUGCGUAGAGAUCGGGAGGAAUACCAGUGGCGAAGGCGGCCUUCUGGACUGACACUGACACUGAGGCGCGAAAGCGUGGGUAGCAAACAGGAUUAGAUACCCGAGUAGUC